UACAACACUGACGUUCCUUCAUACAGAUCCUGAUAGAAACCUGAACGAAAAUGUUUCUCAUCUAUUCGGUUUUAAUAUUUCUCCUAAGCUACAAUGGAGUAUGUGGGAAUGUCAUCAGACCAAACCAACCGUCUGUAGUUUUAACUGAAGGAAGAAACACCACUCUGUCCUGUACAUAUGAUGGAUCAGCUUACAGUCUCCACUGGUAUCGACAGAAGCCUGGAUCAAGACCAGAGUUUCUGCUGCUGAUUGUUGAGUCUUCUAAAACUGUAGUUCCAGCUUCUCCACCGUACCCACAUAUGUCCAUCAGACUCCGUAAUAAUAAUGAUGUGGAUCUGAUCAUCUCCUCUGCUGCUGUAUCAGAUUCUGCUCUGUAUUACUGUGCCCUGGAGCCCACAGUGACAGGAAAACCUACUACAUUGUACAAAAACUGUUUCCUUUUCCUUGCUAUACAGUCCGAUUUCUAA